ensembl:lncRNA LINC00923 long intergenic non-protein coding RNA 923
AUGGGGUUUCACCAUGUUGGCCAGGAUGGUCUUGAUCUCUUGACCUCAUGAUCUGCCUGCCUCGGCCUCCCAAAGUGCUGGGAUUAGCUCUUUUCAAGUCCAAAUUUCCCAACCGUGACUCUUCAGUGCCCACCUAAUCUGGCCCUGCUCACCCUCCAUCAUGCUUUCUUGCUAUGCCCAUGCUUGUUUGCUGGGCUCCUCAAAGUUCCUCCAGUUUUUCUGAGCACUUACUCCCCUCAGGCCUUUGGACUCACCCUUCCCUCUGCGGAUGAUGCUGCUAAACAGAGUAAUCUCAGUUCUAAGUGUCAUGUGCUACUUCCCUUGGAAAACCUCCCCUGGCCUAGGUGCCACCAUGUGAUCCUUUGGGACCUGCCUCCUGUCCUUAGCACUUACCCUUUUGACCUGUGACUGUUCCUUUGGGUGUACCUCUGGUCCCUCCCUUCCUAGGCUGUAAGCUCCACCUGUGCAGGGACAGGGUUUGUCCUGUUUGUCUGUCCCAGUGCAUACCACAUGAGAGGCACUGAAUAUGUUUCUUGACUGAAUAAACAAAUAUAUGAUUUUAUUAUAAUCUUGUUUUUCUACAGAGGGUUCCACUGACAAAGUUUGCUCACCUGUGUCAUCUUAUUUACCAUCUCGACCACACUGAGCCCCUCUGAGACAUCAGCAUGGGGCCUGGGACUGCCAGCCCACCUUUAGCACACGUGAACUGACAAAGUAGGGUUCCCCCACCCCUAUUUUGUAAGCUUAUUCAUGUGAGAGGUUUUCUAAGAAAUUUUAAGGAAAAUUACAUUUAAUCGGAUAUUUGAUGAAGAUCCAUUUAUAAAGAUAAGAACAUUUUACGAGCUGCCUAGGAGACGCCCGGAGCUGGGGCCCCAUAUGGACAAAGCUCUCGUUUGCCAACAAAAGCAGUUCUUCCCUAUCCCCAGGCAGCAGCUCUAGAAAACGAUCUACUGUCAUUUGAAUCCUUUUUACUGACAAUCUCCCUUUACCACAUGGUUUUCAGUGCGCUUGACAGAAUUUUUUGUUAAAUCAUAUUUCUAAGCUUAGAGUGUGCGUUUUCCCUAUUUAUCAUUCUGUCCUUGGUCUAAGUUUCUCCUCAAGGCCACUUUCACUUUUCCGACAGGCUCAAGCAUAUCUGAAUCGAGAAAAGCAGACAUGAUUGAAGCGCAUUUAUCUCCACUAAUUAAGAGGCUUAUGCCAGGCUGAGCUGAGAUUGUAACACCAGAUGAGCCUCCAUUUCAUCCCGCUACACCUGGAGAAGCUCCUGUGGGAGGAAGACUCAUGGAGACACUUUAAACUGGAAGCAAGAGACCCCAGGGAAGAGUGUUCUUAGGCAGAGGGAACAUAACAUGCUAACGUGCUAUGAGGGGGUAAGUUUGGCUCACAGGCGCCAAACAGGUAAGUGACAGUUCCAGGUAUCUUCAGUCUGUUUAUGAAGCACAUACUGGUGUACACGCAGCUACUGUUCAUUUCUUUACGCAUUUUUAAUGUUAUAUUUUGAGACGAUUGCAGAUUCACAUGCAGUUGUAAGAAAUGAUGCAGAGGGAUUCCAUGUACCCUUCACCAAGCCUCCCACAAUGGUAAUGUUUGCAUAACUACAGUAUGGUAUCUUAACCAGAAAAUCAACAUUGUUAUAAUUCACCUAAAACAUUUCUCCAGUUUUAUAUACCCUCAUUUGUGUGUGUGUGUGGGGGGGGAGGUGUAUUUAGUUCAAUAUAAUUUUAUUACCUGUGUAGACUUUCAUGACUACUAACACAGUCAGCGUGCAAAACAGUUUGAGGACAAUAACGCCUUGUUCUUGUUUUGCAUUCCGUCAAAACGUAUUUAAGCAAGCCUGUGUCAAAUGGAACCCUGAAAAAUAUGGCUUUAUUAUACUGAUGUCAUUAGAGGUCUUCUGAGUAGUUUAAAGUAUACAACAAUCUGUUUAGUUGGGCUUUUUGAUCUUAAUAACAAGAUCACUAAGUGGCAGUUCUACAUGGUGUAAGGCUAGAAGACAAUCUAGUCACAAUUCUCGAGACUGAGUUGAUCUAGAAAAGGUGUUGCAUCAAUUGCUUUGAACACCUAACACAUAGAACCAAUGCACGAAUACCUAGCUCCCUGGACACCUGAUCAGUGACCAGUGAGCUGGAAUAACUAGAUGAACAUUUAGAAAGAAUAAAUUCAUUUGGAACAGAAUAGUCUUAGAAAUACUGUACAUUUCGUUCAUUUGAAAAAUAUAUAAUAUCAAUUGUUUCUUCUUCCCAUAUCGACAUGGAAACUAGAUGUGGUUAAUGACUCAGCUGGUAGUGAUUACAAAUAAGGAGAAAAUGACCAUGUUAAUGCUAUGGAGUACUAAGGUACCAUGCUGGAAUACCAUGCUGGAAUACUAGUAUUGACAGUGAUAUAUUAUUGAAAGCGUGGUGGGGUCAUUAUUGUGUUGUAUACUCCCACCUGAUAGAGAGUCAAAGUCCAGGGCCAAGGUUCCCCUGUGCUUCCUAUUGGAAUUCUCCUCCCAAGAAGGAUAAAUGAAGAAGCCUGGAGGUAAAAUUAAAGUUUUCCUAGGAGUGACUGCAUAAGGAUAGAUAUGGUGCUGGAGGAGAGUGUUGAGAAAGAAGACGGGAUUAGGCUGUACUGGAAGAGCUGAAAAUGGUGUCAGGGAGCCUGUCUGAUCACUUUGUUGGUCUCUGACCCUAGAUCCCACCACAUCCACACUCUGCUCCUCUUUCAUUUAACACUUCUAUUGCUCACCCCACAAAAAGUAGAUAGAGUAAUACUAGUGUUUCUCUGGGAAACACUUCUCAUUAAUAAACAUUACAAAAGAUACUUAAUCUUAUUAAUGACCUGGGAAAUGGGAAUUUAAACCAAAAGUAUGAUGCUUUGGAAUGAUAAAUAAUCUCGGUCAGGGAAGGAUACUGAAUAAUUGUUUCUGAACGAUAGACCUUUGUUUCUUUUGAAACGGUAAGGUAGAAUAUAAGUCUCUGGACACAACUGAUAUAUAAAUUAAAAUAAUAUUUUGAUACUUAAAACAGCAUUGUGCAAUGGAGUUGCAGUUAUUAGACUUCCCCUGGCCAGCUGCACGUGGACUAGGAUGCAAGUGGAUGUGCCACAUCACCUGGAUUUUGAGGCUGCAGUUCUGGCUUUUGGUCUGGAAUGCCCUUCAGUCUCUGCUGAUGGCAACCCAGACUCCCAGAGGUGGAAGGCAGUGAUGAUGCCUUCUAAGCUGACCUCAAAUCACUCACAUCACACCCUGGAAGGAAAAAGCCAAGAUUUGCUUGAAACUUCUUCGAGAAAAUGUACCCAGUCCUCCCUGGUCCAUUUAUGCUUUCAAUCCAGUAUUUUUCUUUUAUUGAAGUAAAACUCACUGCCUCAUAACUUCUUGACAGCAGCUCUAUGCUCCAGAGUACACAGAAAAGUUGAAACCUGUGUGCAUAUGACAGGCUUUUAAAAAUGGGAAGACAGUCCUCAUGUCUCCCUCCCAGUGCUUUUUCUUUCCCAGAUGAAGUAACUACUUCUAUUUAGUGGAUGUGAGCUGUGCAAGGUACAUCCUUGAUGUGUUACCCACAUCGUCUCAUGAAUCUUGUCAAGAGCAUCACCAGAGAGACAUCAUUAUUGACACUUUCAGAUGAGAGAAUUGAGGUUCAGAAAGGAAAUGGCCUCAAGGUCCCCCAGCUGUGUUAAAGCUGAGGCUGGAGCCCCAAACGACUCACUGCAGAGCGGAUGUUUCUUUUAUGCAGAUUAACUCCCAUGGCUAAAUGCCCACCAUGCCUUUAAUCUUCCCUUCAUAUCCCAGACCCUAUAUUAUCCUGUUCUCAGUGAAACCUCCUGCAGUGUAUAACUCUUGGUUUUUUCUGCCCUGCCCCUGGCUUCCUUGUGAAUGGCUGGUCCCCACAUUCUAAUCAGAAAGUUACUGUAGGAGCAUGUGAGACUCCGUGAACUUUGCUAUAUGGGAUUUAGACAGGGGUGGAAUCUUUACAUAGGCCACAUAUAGGGUUCCCUGGGAGUUUUUUUUUUAAACUGGUACUUUGAGAGAGAGGUCAUCCUUCUCUGGUGGGGGAAUGGUAAUAUGUAAAAAGUGAGAACUGCUUGCAGCUGGUAAUCGAAAUUUUUACAGUUUUUAAAUUCGUCAGUUUUCUACAAACUAACAUCAAUCUUGAAGUUUGUAAAGUGUUUGGGCCCUAAGCAAUAGUAAGUAGUCAAAUGAUCCUUAGGAAAACUUGCAGAAUGCCAUAACUUAAUAAUGAAGAUUACUCCAUCCUUUCUGUUUGCCUUACUUGCAAGUAUUUGACUUUUUAAAAAAAUCUUACAUAAGAUGUCUAUGAAGUGAAGCACUUUCUGUGUGUAAUUCAUGGUCUUUAUAGAGCAACACAUUUUUGCCUUACCCUAAUAUUAGAGCACUAAUUUGGAAACCUGAAACCUUUAAUUUUGAAUGGGGAUAUCCCAGAAGAAUCAUCAGAAUCACAGACAAUCAUGUCCC